UACCCCUGCCCCUCUUUCUUCUUCCUCACAACAGCCACUCCCCCCUUUUUCUCGAUCUCUCUCUCUCUGCACAUUUUCGGAGGCCGCGAUUUGGGUGUCCUAGGGCGCGAAGAGAUGGAGGUCGGUAGAGGUGAGGGUUGUGGUGGUGAUGACCAAGGCUGGUUGUGGGAGGAGCAAUGGCGGCGGCGGUGGUGGUGGAAAUUGAGGUGGAAUCAGGAGAUGGUUGGUGGAAAUUGAGGCGGUGGUGGAAAUUGAGGUGGAAUUGGGAGACGACCAGUGGAAAUUGCGGCGGUGGUUGAAUUGAGGUGGAAUUGGCGGCCUACUAAACGAAGGGAAGAGAGGGACGACUGUUUCCAGCCGAAGAGAGAGAAAUCGGGAGAAAGAGUAGAGAGAAGGAAGAAGGGAGAGAGAGCAGAGAGACCAAGGAGGGAGGCAACGUGUCGUCGGAGUUUCAGAGGGUGACCAGGAAGUGGCAGAUUUCGCCUGAAAAGAAAGAGGGGCCGGUAGGAG
rnacentral:lncRNA from 1 species